CAACCUCUAAUCUACGUCUAAAAUGUUUAUGUCAAGUUUACGUAGUACAGACAUUCAAUUAAGAAAGAAGAAUAUCAUAAAUAUCAAAACCAUAGAAGGAAGAUGUAUCAUAAUGCUGUUCCAUAGUAUUUAUCUCUUCAUAUUUGUCAUGUCCCCAUCUUCUUUCAUUUCCAGAUUCCCCACGAUUUGAAAACAAAAAGAUUGUAAUGAAAUUUGUGAAUGUUAUUAAUAACGACACUAUAACUUGGUUGAAUAAAAAACAGGUUGUGAUUGAUGAUAUGAACUUCCCUCUAAGUCCUUCUCGUAGCUCAUCAAAGAGAUGCAGAGCUGCUAAAUUUCAUAAUUUGUCUAUUUUUUUUUUCAUACACAAU
rnacentral:lncRNA from 1 species